rnacentral:rRNA from 1 species
UACGGAGGGGGUUGGCGUUGUUCGGCAUUACUGGGCGUAAAGCGCGCGUAGGCGGAUCAGAAAGUUGGGGGUGAAAUCCCGGGGCUCAACCCCGGAAUUGCCUUCAAAACUCCUGGUCUUGAGUUCGAGAGAGGUGAGUGGAAUUCCGAGUGUAGAGGUGAAAUUCGUAGAUAUUCGGAGGAACACCAGUGGCGAAGGCGGCUCACUGGCUCGAAACUGACGCUGAGGUGCGAAAGCGUGGGGAGCAAACAGG